GACGAACGCUGGCGGCGUGCCUAAUACAUGCAAGUCGAGCGAAUGGAAGGGAGCUUGCUCCCUGAAGUUAGCGGCGGACGGGUGAGUAACACGUGGGCAACCUGCCUAUAAGACUGGGAUAACUUCGGGAAACCGGAGCUAAUACCGGAUAGUUCUUUUCUUCUCAUGAGGGAAAGGGGAAAGAUGGUUUCGGCUAUCACUUAUAGAUGGGCCCGCGGCGCAUUAGCUAGUUGGUGAGGUAACGGCUCACCAAGGCAACGAUGCGUAGCCGACCUGAGAGGGUGAUCGGCCACACUGGGACUGAGACACGGCCCAGACUCCUACGGGUGGCAG
rnacentral:rRNA from 1 species